UUUGGACUUUUUACACACAGAAAAAUUUAGCUUUCAGUUUCUUCAGUUCUAACCACAUUUUCAGAUAAGAGGAUAUCAACUGAGAUCUUCAUGUGAAGGCAAUUAUUUUGGUUUUAACUUUUUGUUUCACUUUCCUGUUUAGAUUAGAUGGCGUCUCUCUUAGUAGUAAUUUUUGUCUUUUUUUUCUCUCGUAUUUUAGGCCCUUUAUAUCUGUGACUUUCUUUGGAAGUUUUACAAGCCACAGAAAGGUUGACACAAUCCGUCCCGAAUCACCUUAAUGGAUUCGACACGUGUCAUGCGCCGAUGAUAGAAACCAGGUAAACAUCGGAUCCACCACCAAGGCAACUUGACUUGCUUGAUUGAAAAAUAUUUUUAACAAAAUUUUGACAGAAUUUCCCCUUGAAAUAUAAAUUAAAACCACUGAACAACAACUAAUUUUUCUCAAAUCAAUACCUAUAAUAUAAAUAGGAUAUGCUAAUCCCUCAAAAUACAAACUAUUCAAAUAAAAUGUCGGCAAAUCAACAUUUCCUUUCUUUGCAACCAACAUUUCUUAAAUAUACUAAAGACACCAAAUAUGCAGUGAACCCAUGAUAACAUUUUCUGACAUAAACUACAUAUAACUCAAAGAAAUAUAUACUGUAAAGUAGGCCAUACAACCUAUGACGUAUGACUCAAUAUGGCGGAACAACAGGCUCCAAAUCUGCUCAAUUCAACUGCUAUCUGAUAAGGAAAAAGGGGGAAAUGACAUAUAAGCUUAUAGCUCAGUGAAUGGAUAAUUUGCGAACAAAUAUACUUUUUCCAUUUCUACAUAUUUUCUGAAAAUUCUAGCUUUAUUAAAUCUUUGAAAAAUUCUGAAAUCUGGUAACACUUUUAAAACCAAAACAUGAUUGCAUCAUACAAUUCUUUGUUCUUAAUUCUAGAUAAGUAGAUGUAAAGUUAACGAAUAAUUUGAUAUUCAUGAAAAUUUAUGCAAUAUUGCUACUGGUCAAUACUAUAAGCUGAAAGCUUUAUUCUGAAAACUGAAUUAACUGAAUUCCAUAAUCUGAAAUCUGAGAAUUGAAUAAAUACUGAAAAAUCACGCAAAAAAGAGUACCCAAUGAAUAGUCUUACUCAUGUACAGAGUAAUCUCGAUUUACAAGGCAAAACCAUUCAAAUAUGAUAAUCUGAUAGCUGAUAAUCUGGUCAUACGUACGCAGAACUGCCCCAAAGGCUAAUCACCCUAAUACACGGCCUAAAACCUAUGUGUGUACGAGAGUGGGUCCCAAAGACCUCUGAUAAUAUGGUCAUACACUAUGGAAACACAUUCACGAUAAAAUCACUAUAACUAGUUAUACACUGUCGAAACAUAUUCACAUCAGUGCAAACUGGGGUAAAAUCACCUGGGUUUUUAAAAAUAACUUUAACUAUACUGAAACAUGUAAUAAGAAUAUAACAUGCUACUAAAAUAAUUUAACUGAACUGAAUUUAACUUUAAAAAAAAUUGAUAAUAAAAUUCAUUUUAUUCUGAAAAUCAUGCUAUGAAGUCAACUUUAUAAAAUAAAUAACUUUAAAAUUUAAAAAAGACUUAUUUCUGAAAAAUAAGUUUUAUCUACUCACAAAGUUAUAGUCUAUGAUGGUUUCGAUAUUCUCGUCGCCUCAUCACUUUCAAAUUUCGAGUAUGAUAUCAUGCUCUCGCUGUAAUAAAUUAUAUCCCUUCACAAGCGUUCCUUGAGUAUUUUCCUACCAUUAGAAAUAAUAAUUUACCAAUGAAAACUUCACAUAUUUUAUUUUCAAUCUCAUAAUCCCAUUUAGAGUCAUUAACAACGUAUACUUCUUUAUAUAAAUUAUUUCAACACCAAAACGUCAAAUAUUUAACACUUAAUUUAGUUCAAAUACUAAAAAUCCACCAAAAUUAGAUGAUUGACAAAACUAGCACUAUAACUCCAAAAUAUUGAAAACUGGCACCAAUUUCUGAAUAUUGGAGUCUGUCACCGGAAACAUUGACAGAAAUAACACCUUUCUGGGCAGAAUUUCAAAACUAGUACCUGUUUUUGCAAAAACUCGAAAAUUGCUAAAAAAAUAAAAAAUAAAAAAAAUGAGAAUUUCAACCUCAAAUUCUUAAUUUAAGUUUUUAGCAUCACAUAAUUCCAAGAAUUUCAAAAUAAUAUGCCUUUAUAUCACAAACCCAUUUCCAAAGUUUCGACUUUCUUCAACACUAAUUUCCAAAUACAUAUUUCUUUGACAUAUACUUGUUUUAAUCAUCAAUAACACAUAAUUCUUGCUAGACUUUGAAUUACAGCAAGUUUUCCAUAACCCUUAAAAAUUUAAUUCAAUAAAUUUAUACUUACCAUUCUAAACCAAAUGAGAAAUUGAAGAAUUUGAGAACUCUAGCUUGAAAAUUCUUCUUCUCCUCCUCCUCUUCUUCCUCCUUCUCUCGGUCUCUCUCGAUUCUUCUCUCUCUCUUUCCCCAAAAUAUAUGAGAAAAUACAUAAAAUAAAUGUUAUUUAGUGGAUAAAUAUUAAAUAAUUGCAAGGCAAGUCCACCAUCUUCAGACAAUAUUAC
rnacentral:lncRNA from 1 species